rnacentral:rRNA from 1 species
GCUAAUACCGCAUAUUCUGUGAGCAGGAAAGCAGGGGAUCGCAAGACCUUGCGCUGAUUGAGCGGCCGAUAUCAGAUUAGCUUGUUGGUGAGGUAAAAGCUCACCAAGGCGACGAUCUGUAGCGGGUCUGAGAGGAUGAUCCGCCACACUGGAACUGAGACACGGUCCAGACUCCUACGGGAGGCAGCAGUGGGGAAUUUUGGACAAUGGGGGCAACCCUGAUCCAGCCAUGCCGCGUGAGUGAAGAAGGCCUUCGGGUUGUAAAGCUCUUUCAGCCGGGAAGAAAACGCAUGGGUUAAUACCCUGUGUGGAUGACGGUACCGGAAUAAGAAGCACCGGCUAACUACGUGCCAGCAGCCGCGGUAAUACGUAGGGUGCGAGCGUUAAUCGGAAUUACUGGGCGUAAAGCGUGCGCAGGCGGUUUUGUAAGACAGGCGUGAAAUCCCCGGGCUUAACCUGGGAACUGCGUUUGUGACUGCAAGGCUAGAGUACGGCAGAGGGGGGUGGAAUUCCACGUGUAGCAGUGAAAUGCGUAGAGAUGUGGAGGAACACCAAUGGCGAAGGCAGCCCCCUGGGUCGAUACUGACGCUCAUGCACGAAAGCGUGGGUAGCAAACAGGAUUAGAUACCCUGGUAGUCCACGCCCUAAACGAUGUCAACUAGGUGUUGGGAGGGUAAAACCUUUUAGUACCGGAGCUAACGCGUGAAGUUGACCGCCUGGGGAGUACGGCCGCAAGGUUAAAACUCAAAGGAAUUGACGGGGACCCGCACAAGCGGUGGAUGAUGUGGAUUAAUUCGAUGCAACGCGAAAAACCUUACCUACCCUUGACAUGCCAAGAACUUUCCAGAGAUGGAUUGGUGCCCGAAAGGGAACUUGGACACAGGUGCUGCAUGGCUGUCGUCAGCUCGUGUCGUGAGAUGUUGGGUUAAGUCCCGCAACGAGCGCAACCCUUGUCGUUAAUUGCCAUCAUUUAGUUGGGCACUUUAACGAGACUGCCGGUGACAAACCGGAGGAAGGUGGGGAUGACGUCAAGUCCUCAUGGCCCUUAUGGGUAGGGCUUCACACGUCAUACAAUGGUCGGUACAAAGGGUCGCCAAGCCGCGAGGUGGAGCCAAUCCCAGAAAGCCGAUCGUAGUCCGGAUCGCAGUCUGCAACUCGACUGCGUGAAGUCGGAAUCGCUAGUAAUCGUGGAUCAGAAUGUCACGGUGAAUACGUUCCCGGGUCUUGUACACACCGCCCGUCACACCAUGGGAGCGGGUUCCGCCAGAAGUAGGUAGCCUAACCGCAAGGAGGGCGCUUACCACGGCGGGGUUCGUGACUGGGGUGAAGUCGGAA